CGCGGCCUAUCAGCUUGUUGGUGGGGUAAUGGCCUACCAAGGCGACGACGGGUAGCCGGCCUGAGAGGGUGACCGGCCACACUGGGACUGAGACACGGCCCAGACUCCUACGGGAGGCAGCAGUGGGGAAUAUUGCACAAUGGGCGCAAGCCUGAUGCAGCAACGCCGCGUGAGGGAUGACGGCCUUCGGGUUGUAAACCUCUUUUAGCAGGGAAGAAGCGAAAGUGACGGUACCUGCAGAAAAAGCACCGGCUAACUACGUGCCAGCAGCCGCGGUAAUACGUAGGGUGCAAGCGUUGUCCGGAAUUAUUGGGCGUAAAGAGCUCGUAGGCGGUUUGUCACGUCUGCUGUGAAAAUCCAAGGCUCAACCUUGGACUUGCAGUGGGUACGGGCAGGCUAGAGUGCGGUAGGGGAGAUGGGGAUUCCUGGUGUAGCGGUGGAAUGCGCAGAUAUCAGGAGGAACACCAAUGGCGAAGGCACAUCUCUGGGCCGUAACUGACGCUGAGGAGCGAAAGCGUGGGGAGCGAACAGGAUUAGAUACCCUGGUAGUCCACGCCGUAAACGGUGGGUGCUAGCUGUGGGCCACAUUCCACGUGGUCCGUGACGAAGUUAACACAUUAAGCACCCCGCCUGGGGAGUACGG
rnacentral:rRNA from 1 species